rnacentral:lncRNA from 1 species
GUUUUUUAGGUCUAAUAAACUACCGAAUUCUUAAUUGAACUAAACUUUGAAAUUUUGAAUUUGGAGUUAGUCCCGUAUACUAUGGAAGUAACGUUGCUCGAUGGCUCUCCAACUGUUACACAGUUACAGCCAACAUGCUUUUACAAACACGACAGCUAAAUACUUUUUCUUUUUCACAGCACACGCUGCCCAAUUUGUCGUGAAAGUUUUGCUCACAAGCUUGAACGACGACCACUGCCAAAUUCACGAAAACGUGCUGGAAAAUAACAAAGGACCAACAGCCGAGAGUAGCUAUAAGAUUUUCAUGGGCUUAUAUUAAUGGAUCUGCUUGUCGGAGCACAUGAAUUUCUAAGCUUAUGUUAGGCUAUUGAUCCAGUAACUGUAAGUAUUUAUGUUACUUGAAAAGAUAUCAAUGCUCAGGAAUGGAAAGUUGCCGCACAGACCUUGAAACGGAAAUCUCCUGAUUACAUGUACUACCUCACGCUCUUUCCAGUGAAAGUGGCACUAUGUGAAAGAAUUUUCAAAAUGACAAAGUGACUAACCUCACGCUUUGUCCAGUGAAAGUGACACGAACGUCUAUAAGUUUCAUUGUCUUAUGUAAAAGAACUUUCAAAACGACGUAACUUUUUAUAAGUUUGUAUUGUUUCUUCGCCUUCUUUGUGAGAUAUUUCAUCAUGUUUGAUACGCAAAUGUCCUGCAUUUACCUCCAAAAUGAGUAAUGACUUAUCAAAUUAAAGAAUAACAGUUACUUUUGAAAUAUAUUUGUGUCCAUGAAAUAAGAAGACUAAAUUGGGUAUUACGUGUGUUUUUCAUCCUCCUAGAACUCCAAAUUCAUCAUAUUGGAGAAUUACGAAAACAUUAAUUCGAAGACAUUCAUACGAAAACAUUCAUACGGAAGAAAAGAGUCUUCAAUACGCUGAUGAAUUCAACCUUACAUGUAUAUCAACAUUGCAGCCGGGUCAAUGAGUUAGAUGCCACUUUUAGUCAGAAACUACUAAUUAAUGUUCUUUGCUCCACAACAAAUGACCAGAAAUUAUGAGUUUAUAGAAUUAUCAGAUAAAUAAAAUUGGGUUGAAUAGCCGUAUAUAUCAUGAAGUACUUGGGAUGCUUUUCAAACAGAACUUGUUAUGGAAUGACCAUAUUACAGUUGAAUUAACAUCAUCCUGUUAUGAUAGUUUAGCAUUGCUGAAAAAAUUGAAACGAUUUAAUUUAUCAUAUCAGAAAACAACUUUAAGCUUUUUAGUGUGAAGUUUCACUUUACACUAUUGUGAUGAGUGUCGAAAAUUCACACGAAUCAGUCAGUCAGUCAGUCAUAGAGUAAACUUUCCGGGGGGUGUAUACGAUUUAUGUUCAUGGUGAUUUAUUGUACUUAGUGCUUUGAAGGUUAUUUAGCCAAUUUCACUUGUCUUAUUUGAAUAUUCUUUUGGCCUUUUGUCAAGUUACCAAAAGUUUCGAGGAAUCGUUGUCGUUAUUGCAAAUUUUAUAACAUUCGCUUCUCGUCGUCGGCUUCUCGUGUUGUGUAAAGGAUCUUUCCCCCGGAACACCCGAUUUUUCUUCAGCAGCGCAAAUGCGCAUACGCUAUGAAGCCGCAGAUCAACGAUGGCGUCACGAUAUGCUACGAAGGAACGAUACAGUGUUGUUUUCAAAUAUACUGUAUAAACAUUUCAGACAUGAAUAUUAAGUAAAUCUUUGAGAAUCUGCGCAAUAUAUAAAUCGUUGUUAUGCAUUACGGGCAUUCAAUCAAGUACCGAUAUUAUUUAGAUGGUAUAGUCAUUAUACAGAGCUAGGAAGGAGCUACAGCCUAGACAGUGCUUUUUUUCAAAUGUAUAAACAUUUCAGACGUAAAUAUUGAGAAAAUCUUUG